rnacentral:rRNA from 1 species
GAUGAACGCUGGCGGCGUGCUUAACACAUGCAAGUCGAACGAUGAAGCCCAGCUUGCUGGGUGGAUUAGUGGCGAACGGGUGAGUAACACGUGAGUAACCUGCCCUUGACUCUGGGAUAAGCCCGGGAAACUGGGUCUAAUACCGGAUAGGAGCGCCUGUCGCAUGACGGGUGCUGGAAAGAUUUUUCGGUCAUGGAUGGACUCGCGGCCUAUCAGCUUGUUGGUGAGGUAAUGGCUCACCAAGGCGACGACGGGUAGCCGGCCUGAGAGGGUGACCGGCCACACUGGGACUGAGACACGGCCCAGACUCCUACGGGAGGCAGCAGUGGGGAAUAUUGCACAAUGGGCGGAAGCCUGAUGCAGCGACGCCGCGUGAGGGAUGACGGCCCUUUCGGGUUGUAAACCUCUUCAAGCAAGGGAA